rnacentral:rRNA from 1 species
AACGGCCACGGUAUCCUAACCGUGCGAAGGUAGCAUAAUCACUUGUUCUUUAAAUGAGGACUCGUAUCAACGGCAUCACGAGGGUUACACUGUCUCCUUUUUCUAAUCAGUGAAACUAAUCUCCCCGUGAAGAAGCGGGGAUACUCUUAUAAGACGAGAAGACCCCAUGGAGCUUUAAACCCAACUACACCCUUGACCCCCACAACCUCUUAACCCAAGCCCCUGUAUUGUUGGUUUUAGGUUGGGGCGACCACGGAGUAUAGCAUAACCUCCACAAUGAAUGGGAUAUUUUCCCUCAUCUAAGAAUUACAAUUCCAAGAAUUAGUAUACUAACAUAAAUGAUCCAUUUAAAUGAUCAAUGAACCAAGUUACCCUGGGGAUAACAGCGCAAUCCAUUUAAAGAGCUCCUAUCGACAAAUGGGUUUACGACCUCGAUGUUGGAUCAGGGUGUCCCAGUGGUGCAGCAGCUACUAACGGUUCGUUUGUUCAACGAUUAAUACCCU